GGAAACUUAACAGGAAGCCACUAACAAUCCUUCUAGCUAUAGGAUUAGAUAUAUAGCGACAUAAUCGUCCAUCGACAUAUGCUAGAAUCCCUGAUAGAACAAAAUUUCCAAAUCCCCAUUUCCAUAAAAAAUCGAGCUUUUGUCCAGAUGCAGGUACAAUGGCUUUCUCAUCAUCACCUUCCACUUUCUGCUUCCAAUUCAU
rnacentral:misc_RNA from 1 species